rnacentral:rRNA from 1 species
UGGCGGGGUAACGGCCCACCAAGCCUGGGACGCCUACCGGGCGUGCGAGCGUGGCCCGGCACACUGGGACUGAGACACUGCCCAGACACCUACGGGUGGCUGCAGUCGAGAAUCUUCGGCAAUGGGCGCAAGCCUGACCGAGCGACGCCGCGUGGAGGACGAAGGCCUUCGGGUUGUAAACUCCUGUCGAGGGGGAACAAGGGCCGGUGGAGAAUCGGCCUUGAGUGAUCCCUGGAGGAAGCACGGGCUAAGUUCGUGCCAGCAGCCGCGGUAAU